rnacentral:misc_RNA from 1 species
AGCAGCCGCGGUAAUUCCAGCUCCAAUAGCGUAUAUUAAAGUUGUUGCAGUUAAAAAGCUCGUAGUUGAAUUUCGGGAUCAAUAUGUUGGUCGUGCCUUGGUACGUACUGGCACUAUCGAUUCCUACCUUCUGAAGAACCUCGAUGUCAUUAAUUUGGUGUCUUGGGGAAUCAGGACUGUUACUUUGAAAAAUUAGAGUGUUUAAAGCAGGCUCGCGCUUGAAUACAUUAGCAUGGAAUAAUGAAAUAGGACGUUUGAUUCUAUUUUGUUGGUUUCUAGGAUCGACGUAAUGAUUAAUAGGGAUAGUUGGGGGCAUUAGUAUUCAAUUGUCAGAGGUGAAAUUCUUGGAUUUAUUGAAGACUAACUACUGCGAAAGCAUUUGCCAAGGAUGUUUUCAUUAAUCAAGAACGAAAGUUAGGGGAUCGAAGACGAUCAGAUACCGUCGUAGUCUUAACCAUAAACUAUGCCGACUAGGGAUCGGAUGAUGUUAAUUUUUAAUGACUCAAUUCGGCGUACCG